rnacentral:tRNA from 2 species
GCGGGUAUGGCGAAAUGGCAGACGCGCCAGUCUUAGGAACUGGUUUCUGGGGGUUCGAGUCCCUCUACCCGCA